rnacentral:other from 1 species
GAUACCCUGCUGUGUACGUGCUGCUGUCUUCCGGUUCUGAGCCAACACUCAUGUAUGGGUGCCCAAUCUCACAAAUGUGACGCGAUAGGCUAGAGCCAAGGCGGAUCAUGCGGGUCGGGUACCAACCUGCGAAGGCAGGUUCAGAACUUUACAGCACACGGCACGGUGGGGUUUAU